AAACCCGGGACUGGAGAUGGCAGAUUUCUGUCUCCUUUGCCUGUGGGACUGAGGCCCCGGGACAGAGGAGACCUGGGAAACUUGGUGCCAAUGGGAGAGCUUCAGCCCUGAAGGGGAUAGGCCCUCCCAUGUCCCGGUGCCCUUCCAGACAGUGCAACGGAACCAGUAAAGGGGAUUCCUGGAUGGCAUCAGGAGCACUGCACAGACAUCUGAACCGUGCAAAAAUCACCAUCAGAGUCGUUUAUUGGUCGAGAGAAGAGGUCAAAUUCUCAAUCAUACAUUGGACGACCAAUUCACCUUGACAAGAUUUUGAUGUCUAAAGUUAAAGUGCCGCACACAUUUGUCAUCCACUCCUACACCCGGCCCACAGUGUGCCAGUACUGCAAGAAGCUUCUGAAGGGGCUUUUCAGGCAGGGCUUGCAGUGCAAAGAUUGCAGAUUCAACUGCCAUAAACGUUGUGCACCGAAAGUACCAAACAACUGCCUUGGCGAAGUGACCAUUAAUGGAGAUUUGCUUAGCCCUGGGGCAGAGUCUGAUGUGGUCAUGGAAGAAGGGAGUGA
rnacentral:lncRNA from 10 species